rnacentral:rRNA from 1 species
CCUACGGGUGGCAGCAGUGAGGAAUAUUGGUCAAUGGGAGAGAUCCUGAACCAGCCAAGCCGCGUGAGGGAAGACGGCCCUAUGGGUUGUAAACCUCUUUUGUCGGAGAACAAAACCCGGGACGUGUCCCGGACUGCGUGUAUCCGAAGAAAAAGCAUCGGCUAACUCCGUGCCAGCAGCCGCGGUAAUACGGAGGAUGCGAGCGUUAUCCGGAUUUAUUGGGUGUAAAGGGCGUGUAGGCGGGAAAGCAAGUCAGAUGUGAAAACUCAGGGCUCAACCCUGAGCCUGCAUUUGAAACUGUUUUUCGUGAGUGCGGGAGAGGCAAUCGGAAUGCCGUGUGUAGCGGUGAAAUGCGUAGAUAUACGGAGGAACACCAGUGGCGAAGGCAGAUUGCUGGACAGUAACUGACGCUGAGGCGCGAAAGCGUGGGGAGCAAACAGGAUUAGAUACCCCAGUAGUC